rnacentral:rRNA from 2 species
UGGCUCAGGAUGAACGCUGGCGGCGUGCCUAAUACAUGCAAGUCGAGCGAACUGAUUAGAAGCUUGCUUCUAUGACGUUAGCGGCGGACGGGUGAGUAACACGUGGGCAACCUGCCUGUAAGACUGGGAUAACUUCGGGAAACCGAAGCUAAUACCGGAUAGGAUCUUCUCCUUCAUGGGAGAUGAUUGAAAGAUGGUUUCGGCUAUCACUUACAGAUGGGCCCGCGGUGCAUUAGCUAGUUGGUGAGGUAACGGCUCACCAAGGCAACGAUGCAUAGCCGACCUGAGAGGGUGAUCGGCCACACUGGGACUGAGACACGGCCCAGACUCCUACGGGAGGCAGCAGUAGGGAAUCUUCCGCAAUGGACGAAAGUCUGACGGAGCAACGCCGCGUGAGUGAUGAAGGCUUUCGGGUCGUAAAACUCUGUUGUUAGGGAAGAACAAGUACAAGAGUAACUGCUUGUACCUUGACGGUACCUAACCAGAAAGCCACGGCUAACUACGUGCCAGCAGCCGCGGUAAUACGUAGGUGGCAAGCGUUAUCCGGAAUUAUUGGGCGUAAAGCGCGCGCAGGCGGUUUCUUAAGUCUGAUGUGAAAGCCCACGGCUCAACCGUGGAGGGUCAUUGGAAACUGGGGAACUUGAGUGCAGAAGAGAAAAGCGGAAUUCCACGUGUAGCGGUGAAAUGCGUAGAGAUGUGGAGGAACACCAGUGGCGAAGCGGCUUUUUGGUCUGUAACUGACGCUGAGGCGCGAAAGCGUGGGGAGCAAACA